rnacentral:rRNA from 1 species
GGCAAAAUUAGUGACUGGGGCUAAGUCGUAACAAGGUAGCCGUACCGGAAGGUGUGGCUGGAAUACCUCCUUU